rnacentral:rRNA from 1 species
AAUAGAUACCCGGGUAGUCCACGCCGUAAACGAUGUCGACUUGGAGGUUGUUCCCUUGAGGAGUGGCUUCCGGAGCUAACGCGUUAAGUCGACCGCCUGGGGAGUACGGCCGCAAGGUUAAAACUCAAAUGAAUUGACGGGGGCCCGCACAAGCGGUGGAGCAUGUGGUUUAAUUCGAUGCAACGCGAGGAACCUUACCUACUCUUGACAUCCAGAGAACUUAGCAGAGAUGCUUUGGUGCCUUCGGGAACUCUGAGACAGGUGCUGCAUGGCUGUCGUCAGCUCGUGUUGUGAAAUGUUGGGUUAAGUCCCGCAACGAGCGCAACCCUUAUCCUUUGUUGCCAGCGGUUUCGGCCGGGAACUCAAAGGAGACUGCCAGUGAUAAACUGGAGGAAGGUGGGGAUGACGUCAAGUCAUCAUGGCCCUUACGAGUAGGGCUACACACGUGCUACAAUGGCGUAUACAAAGAGAAGCGACCUCGCGAGAGCAAGCGGACCUCAUAAAGUCGUCGUAGUCCGGAUUGGAGUCUGCAACUCGACCCC